AGGUAGGUUCUGAAAGUUACAUGAACAGUGGAGAAAAUGAAGUAGGAGUGGCUGCUAACACAGCAUUCCAACGUGAAUUCCGUGGGAGGUUUUCAGGCACUGCUGCAGUUAAUACGACUCAAGGAGUUGGCUCUGGCGACCGAAUCCCUACAUCUACAGCAGGUCAUCAUGGCAGAAGAGAUAAGAAACCAAGGUCUGGCAGGAGACCCAAGUACUGAAGAGAAAAGAGAGGUGUAAGGCAAAGGGGGAGAUGGGUUUUGGGGUAGUCUUGUUUAUAGGGGACUUAAUUGAGCUAUCAGAUUCAUGAUCAGAUGUAGAAAAGGCC
rnacentral:misc_RNA from 1 species